AUUGAACGCUGGCGGCAGGCUUAACACAUGCAAGUCGAACGGAGUGGCGGACGGGUGAGUAAUGCUUGGGAAUCUAGCUUAUGGAGGGGGCUAACUACGGUAAACUGUAGCUAAUACCGCGUACUAUCCGAUGAGCCUAGGUCGGAUUAGCUAGUUGGUGAGGUAAUGGCUCACCAAGGCUACGAUCCGUACCUGGUCUGAGAGGAUGAUCAGUCACACUGGAACUGAGACACGGUCCAGACUCCUACGGGAGGCAGCAGUGGGGAAUAUUGGACAAUGGACGAAAGCCUGAUCGAGCCAUGCCGCGUGUGUGAAGAAGGUCUUCGGAUCGUAAAGCACUUUAAUUAGGGAGGCGGUACCUAAAGAAUAAGCACCGGCUAACUCUGUGCCAGCAGCCGCGGUAAUAC
rnacentral:rRNA from 1 species